rnacentral:rRNA from 1 species
UACAGAGGGGGCAAGCGUUAUUCGGAAUCAUUGGGCGUAAAGAGCGUGUAGGCGGCCUGAUAAGUCGGCUGUGAAAGUCAAGGGCUCAACCCUUGAAUGCCGGCCGAUACUGUCAGGCUAGAACCCGGAAGAGGCGAGUGGAAUUCCUGGUGUAGCGGUGAAAUGCGCAGAUAUCAGGAGGAACACCUAUGGCGAAGGCAGCUCGCUGGGACGGUAUUGACGCUGAGGAGCGAAAGCCAGGGGAGCAAACGGG